CUGUAAGAGCUCCCCUGGCACUUGUGCUUACAGCAAUUUGAAUUUCUCUGGCAGCUAGGUAUGAUUUGUGACAGAUUUCAGCUUUGCUCUUCAUUGAAGGAGUACACUGGCAAGUCUUGAGUUUAGAAAAUCAUAAGCUGACAAAGCACAGUUACCUUUUUAUACUGGAAAAUACCUUGAACUCUUCUGAAAAACGUAGGCAACAGAUUUCGUGGCCCAUGGUCAUCAUCUGAGAAAUGUGCACAUGAAAGAAUGCAUGGAGGUAUCAGGUGCACCCUUGGGAGGAUAAGAAUGUCCACAUGGGACCAAGUCUUCUACAAGCAGCAGUUUCUGUAUGAAUGGAUAAUUUGGCAAAACAGCCCUUGGCCCCUAAGAGAAUUCUGCACAAAUCAUCUUUUUAUCCUGAUACCGGCACAGAAGAAGACUUGCAUUUUGAUUCCCCAGCUUUCCACUCUUUGUCAGGUUAUUAAGCUCACUUACAUCUCUUAAAGUUU